AGUUUGUAUUCGGUUGUGCUUCUAUAGUCUAUGCCCAUCACUGCGGACGCCAUUUCCGUGUUCCAGCCGUCAGGGGCUUUGUUCGCUCGGCGUCCGCUGAAAUUCGGUUGCCGUUCGCGGUUCGCCUAUUCUAACGACGUACCGAAUCGAAUGCGCGUUGUUCUCAGUUUCGUUAAAUUUUUUAAUAAUCGUAUUGCUUUUUUUACUCAAAACAUAAGUCGAAGUGUACCUGUAUGUUAAUUUAACUUUUGCGGCUGUAUUCGAAAUUCCGUCGCAAAUAUUACAGUUUUUACUGCGGUAUGAAAAAAAAAAUGCCUAUAUCAAAUUUGUUGUGCACACGGCAAGAUGGCCGCCAACGUCGAAUGGUUUUCGACUGCACCUUCGUUUCGUGUGAUGGGUAUUGAUUGGAAGUACGGAUAUAAGAUUAAAGAUUAAUGUCAUGGAAGUGUUUAAAGAUGAUCGUUCGUUUCGCAGUACAAAGGAAUGCUGGCCGACAACUGAUUGUGCCAACAACAAAUACAACGCCGUGUAUCAUUUGUAUUUGUGAGGUACCUAGAAUAUCGUUACAGUCCUCACCACUCUCGAGGUCAACACAUUCAAAAACUGUUAAGGUAUGGCACAACAAACUUCCACACUUUUA